AUGAAAUGCCUUAGUCUUUUGUUUUUUUGGUGUAAGCAAAAUUUAGUGGGGGAAGUAGAUAGCCUUGUGGAGUUUAAAAGCCAAUUGUAAAGUUAGUUUUGUCUUUUUGGAUUUGAGUAUGAUGGCACCCCCUGGGGGUUUGUAAAUCCCACCUCAUCGAUUUUGAUGAGGUCUUUUGUGUGAAUACAAAGUUACCUAUUUCAAAAAAAAAAAAAGACUCCUUAAGCUUGCAGCCAUGGUGGGGUUUAACUUAUGUUUGAGAAAAGGCGAAUCUGAGCCUCCCAAAUCUGUUUGUGUGAAAGAAUGAGGCUCUUUAUGCUACCCAACUUAUGCUGCAUGACUUAAUUCCUAUGGAACUUAUGCUGAGCGAGACAAAAGGUUCUCCAAACUUAUGCAGAAACAAGAGCUCCUGAUUUCGGGGAAAUCCUUGCAAAAACUUGUUACUUUAAUGCAUUGAGAAAAUCUGACCUGUAUCUUGACAGGGCAACCCGGUAUGACGUCAUCUGUAAACUGGCGUUUGCAGCCAUGGCAUUGUCCCUUUCUCUUUGCAUGUUCAUAUACAACAAAAUAUGAGCACUAAAGUCGAUGGUAAAUUUCUCAGAUGGUCACUCAACUCAAUGCGGGUUCUCAGGAACCUGAAUACCCUAUAGGGUUCAGUCCGAGCAACAUAGAAUACGUUCAAUGAGGCAAUGAAGAUGUUCAUUCUUUAAGAACCAGAUAGUUGAACUUUGUUGUAACUUGGUGUGGCAGCUCUAAGGGUCUGUGAGGUGAGAGAACUAUAUUGGUUUUCAUCUCACUAGGCUAUUAUGCUUGCAGCCAUGGCAUAGUUUAGCUUUUUCUGAGAAAAAAUCAAAUCUGAGCCUCCCAAGUAUCUGUUGUGUUUAGAGAAUGAGGCUUUUUAUUGAACUCAGGAAUGGUAAGAGAUUUUCUAAGGGUGGUUAACUCUUUCUCCUAAGUUCAAUUUUGCCAAUGAAUUUUCCUAUGCUUUUGUUAAAAAUAUAAAGUUUAACAGCCCUUUCAAUUAGCAGAAUGCUCUUCAUGAUAUUGAUGAUAUGAUUGCCAUGAUUAUGGUAAUAAUGAAGGAAAAUAUAUGUUUUGCCCCUUUAACUUGUGGAAAACCCCGAACUAAACUUUUUGAAUAAGGCUGUGAUGAUAUUCUCCAAGAAGCUCGAAAAUCAGAUUUUUGAACUGAUUCAUAUCUUGUCUAGACAAAGGCAGGGGAAUUUGUGAGGAUGCUUUUUGCAGCCAUGGUGGAUUGGCCUUUUUUCUGAUUGAUUUUCACUCAAAUCUGAGCCUCUUUUCUGUUUAAAGUAUAGUUCUACAAUAUUUAGUCUUUCUCUUUCAUUCUUGGUACUAUCAGAUCAUAUAAGGAAGAGUCCCCUUUGAGAAAGAAACUUUUUAUGCAUCCAUCUAUACAAUUUCCCCAAAUUGUUAGGUACAUACUGAUAUGAGACAAGGCCAAAGGGAAUGGAAGUGAAUAUUGAGGAUCCGUAUAUUGUUGCUGUAUUUUACUUUUUUGAUCAAGAUUUGUUGCUGCAUUUUUCCACAUAUUCAAACUUUGAUGUCUUGUUUUAAUCUUGAACGCUCCAAGUUUCAGAGGCAGUGAAGAUUAUUCAUAAUGAAAAUGAAAAGUGAAGAAAAUUAGAGUUGAUUCGUGGCCUGGCUUGCGAGUUCAAUCGGAAGGUCUUAUAAGGCAACUGUUGCUUGCAGCCAGGGCACUGUUCAAACUCUGCUCUUCCUUUUCUUUGAUUAAAUAGGCGAAAAUCUGAGCCUCAUUCUUAACUUUGUCCAUUUGCUUUUUUUGUUUUACUAGUCUUUCUAGAAAGAGAUUUAGAUUACCAUCACUGUGGAACCACUUAAAUCAACAGCUCUGUCUCCCAACUCCAAAAGCCAAAAGGAAAAAAAAAUGAUUCUGCAUUGAGUACAUGCAUUUGUCAUCUUGAUUUGGUUGACGAAAAUUGGAUCCUCCGCCCACAUGAAACGCAUCCACUGAAUCAGUGGUGUAGCCGGAAAUUUCAUGAAGGGUGUUCAUAAAUGUGGACAUGGACUGUAGUAAUAACCGAUACGAUAAGCUAAACACAUGCUCACAUGUCCACUACCUAAACUUGGAACUGUUGGGAGAUUAUUGAUCAAAAGCACCAUAUUGGCCAAGUUAAUGGUGUAUUCUCAUUCCUGAUUAGAGGUACCAGAUGGGCAAAUUAAUUGUUGAAAAAGAACCCUACCAAAUCCUAAUUGAAGAAUAGGUCAAAGCAAUAGAGAUAGAGAGAAGAGGAAGCUCCAACUAUGACCAAAAAGAAUAGGGGAAAGCUGAUGGAUGUUGAUAAUCAUCAGGUUAGUUAUCUUCUGCAUGGGCCUAAUCAUUGUUUAAGAACAGAACAAGUUCACUUCCCCGAAGAAAUAAUUGUGGACAUCCUCAAAAGGUUACCCGUGCGGUCUCUUCUUCGAUUUAAAUGUGUUUCAAAAUUUUGGAAAGACGUUAAUCUCUGAGCCUUACUUUAAGAUGAAGCAUCAAAGUCAUGCCAUGAAUGACUUAAAUUCGAAAAAGUUUCUUGUUAGUCUAUGGCGUGUCGGUGAGGAAAACAAGUUUAAUUUAUACUCUUCUUCUUUAUCUUUGGUUCAACCAGCUGUUGAGGAUAUAGAAAAACUUGAUUCUCCUUCAAAUUGCAAACCAUCAACUUGUAUGUUGCAUUGUUCUUGCGAUGGGUUGGUUCUUCUCUCAAUUGCUGACCGCCUUUUGGAGUGAGUCUACUUUUAAGUUGUGGAUAAUGAAGGACUACAGUGUCAAGGAAUCUUGGAUACUAUCGUAUACAAUACAAGAUAAUGAUUUGUUUUUUUCUCAAACCGAUACAAGAUAAGGAUUUGUUGGAUUUGUUUUUUCUCAGACCGAUACAUAUGUUUGCUGAUGGUGAAGUGCUACUCAACUAUCGAUGUAUGGACCACGUAGGGUCUAACUUACCAUUUAGGACAUCCAAAGGACCAUUUGGAUUAUGGCCCGGAAAUAAUAUCCUAAA